GUCCAUAGCUCAGAGGCACAGCGUCUGCUUUUCAUGCAGAAGGUCCCAGAUUCAAUCCCUGUUAUUUCCAGAUACA